UACGAAGGGUGCAAGCGUUAAUCGGAAUUACUGGGCGUAAAGCGUGCGUAGGUGGUUUGUUAAGUCUGAUGUGAAAGCCCUGGGCUCAACCUGGGAAUUGCACUGGAUACUGGCAGGCUAGAGUGCGGUAGAGGAUGGCGGAAUUCCCGGUGUAGCAGUGAAAUGCGUAGAGAUCGGGAGGAACAUCCGUGGCGAAGGCGGCCAUCUGGACCAGCACUGACACUGAGGCACGAAAGCGUGGGGAGCAAACAGG
rnacentral:rRNA from 1 species